AAGAGCUCUGCUCAGGCCUACUGGUCUCCCUUUUCUCCUAUUUUUUUUUUUUUGGCUGGUAAUGUUUUCAUGCAGGAAAGUAGAGGUAAAGUGUGCUUGAGGAGGCAUUUUGGUACCCCUUUUAGAAACUGACCUCGGAGUCUCCCUUGUGGCUCAGCAGGAUUGAACCCACAACCUCAUGGUUCCUAGGCGGAUUCGUUAACCACUGAGCCGCGACGGGAACUCCAAUGUGCCCCCUACUCUAGAUCUGUCUCCUCUCACGUACCAGCUCUCACUUCUGCCUUGGCUGUCAUGGUACCUGUCUCCUUAUCUCGUGCUUUGAGUCUAAGACCCGAAAGCACAGAGAAGAAGAAUGGUUAGCAGCGUGGAUUUGGAGUCCAGUAGACUUCAGUUCAAAUCCCAGCCCUGCUAGUGGAGGCAGAGUGAACUUGGACGAAAACCGUGGCAUCUGCCUACACUCUGCUUACCCACCUGGAACAUGGGAAGUGCAGCUGACCUUACACUUGAGGGGUGUGAGCUUCUGGGUCUGACACAGAGAGCAGCAAACCCAGUCCCUCUACGACUUGUCAAUUGUGUGAUAGAUGACAGUGAGUAAGGUGAGUGGCUUAGUGAGAGGGCUUCACACAGGCUUUUUCAGUAUCUAAAAAUUACUUCUAGAAGAUCUGAAUUAUCAGAAGAUGACAAUUCUGGGUAAGGAGGCCGUUGGUACACACAGUGUGGACCUGUAGUUACUUCAGGGGUGGGCUUUUGUUAAGGUAUUACUGUAACUAAAUGCUCCUAAGUUGUUGUCUCCAGGAAGAGCCUCAACUUCCUGAGGGCAGAGACCGUGGCGCUGGCUGCACCCCCACCCCCACCCACCAGCACCCGGAUUUGCUUGCACCCAGUUAGCAGGACCUGGAGCGCUGUCCCUCUGCCCUUCAAAGGACAGAACAUCUUUCUAAUCCCAGCUCAGAUCUUACCUCCUUUGUAAACCCUGGCCUAACCUCAACCCAGAGGGAUUCCUGCCUCUGAACUCCUGUUGUGCUGACUUUGGCAAGUGGCUUCUGGUGCCCAGAAUCGCCAGUUGUCCUUUUCACUUUGCAUUGAACUUGGCAACCUCCCGAGAGAUUUUUAAGCUCCUUUAGUACAGUGCUGAUGUCUUAGAUGUCUUUGUGCUUCCUUUUGUCCCCAACCCCAGUCUUUUCAUAUAGAGGACCCAUAAUGGAAUCAGUAUUGUGAUAUUUUUUGUCAUUGAUAAAGAAUUUUGUAGAGCUUGUGGUGGAUCCUAAACUGUGCUCUGCUGGAAUAUGCUAACAUUGCACAACUAGUGGAUAAAGAGACUUGGGUGGAAAAUGCUACACAGGCCCUCUAGACAUUUAGUAUAUACUGUUCUGGAAAUGUAUCAUUUAGAAAUGUGCUAACCUAAAAUUAUCUUUGCACCACUUGUGAAAUGUACACUUGAUAAGCAGGGUGACUGUCAUUAAAAUUUUAUGAAUAUUGUUCCAUAUGUCAAUGAAGAAAUUUUUUGCUGUUACUUUUCAACCGCCUGAAGCAUCAAAUGAUGGUGUUAUACGGGUAAUCAAGGAUUACAGAUUAACCCUUUCCUAGGUUUUUAAACAUGUCCAUUCAGAUGCAUAUUUCUUUUUCUUUUCUUUUUUUUUUUUUUUGUCUUUCUGCCUUUUUCUAGGGCCACACCCACGGCACGUGAAGGUUCCCAGGCUUGGGGUCUAAUUGGAGCUGUAACUGCCGGCCACAGCCACAGCCACAGCAACGCCAGAUCCGAGCC
rnacentral:lncRNA from 1 species